rnacentral:rRNA from 1 species
AAUACUGGACAAUUGUCGCAAGCCUGAUCCAUCCAUGCCGCGUGAGUGAUGAAGGUCUUAUGGUUGUUAAUUUCUUUCACCGAGGAAGAUAAUGACGGUAGUCGGAGAAGAAGCCCCGGCUAACUUCGUGCCAGCAGCCGCGGUAAUUCGAAGGGGGCCAGCGUUUUUCGGUUUUACUGGGCGUAAAGCGCAAGUAGGCGGAUUGGUCAGUUAGAGGUGAAAUCCCGGAGCUCAACUUCGGAACUGACUUUAAUCCUGCCAGUCUCGAGUCCGGAAGAGGUAAGUGGAACUCCUAGUGUAGAGGUGGAAUUCGUAGAUAUUAGGAAGAACACCAGUGGCGAAGGCGGCUUACUGGUCCGGAACUGACGCUGAGGUGCGAAAGCGUGGGGAGCAAACAG